rnacentral:rRNA from 1 species
CCUACGGGGGGCAGCAGUGGGGAAUAUUGGACAAUGGGGGGAACCCUGAUCCAGCCAUGCCGCGUGUGUGAAGAUGGCCCUCGGGUUGUAAAGCACUUUCAGUGAGGAAGAACGCCUGGUGGUUAAUACCCAUCAGGAAAGACAUCACUCACAGAAGAAGCACCGGCUAACUCCGUGCCAGCAGCCGCGGUAAUACGGAGGGUGCGAGCGUUAAUCGGAAUUACUGGGCGUAAAGCGCGCGUAGGUGGCUUGAUAAGCCGGUUGUGAAAGCCCCGGGCUCAACCUGGGAACGGCAUCCGGAACUGUCAAGCUAGAGUGCAGGAGAGGAAGGUAGAAUUCCCGGUGUAGCGGUGAAAUGCGUAGAGAUCGGGAGGAAUACCAGUGGCGAAGGCGGCCUUCUGGACUGACACUGACACUGAGGUGCGAAAGCGUGGGUAGCAAACAGGAUUAGAUACCCCUGUAGUC